ACACUGCUGAGGAGUCGUACAAUAAGACGAAAUAGCCGUCCAGUGC
rfam:Schistosoma margrebowiei strain Zambia genome assembly, scaffold: SMRZ_contig0002127